AAGGCACAUUGCGCCCCCUGGCAUUCCGGGGGGCAUGCCUGUCCGAGCGUCAUUGCUGCCCAUCAAGCCCGGCUUGUGUGUUGGGUCGUCGUCCCCCCCGGGGGACGGGCCCGAAAGGCAGCGGCGGCACCGUGUCCGGUCCUCGAGCGUAUGGGGCUUUGUCACCCGCUGGACUAGGGCCGGCGGGGCGUGAGCCGACGGCUCCAACCAUUUUUCUUCAGGUUGACCCCGGAUAAGGUAGGGAUACCCGCUGAACUUAA
rnacentral:misc_RNA from 1 species